UCCCUGGUAGUAUAUCGGUUAGUACACGCGCCUGUCAUAGUAAGAAUGCCGCGCGAAAGCUGGGUUCGACUCCCAGCCAGGGAG